AAAGGGGGAGGAAUAUUGUCGACGCACAGCGUCUACAGCUAGCUAUCCAGAGACCUGAGCUAGCUAACAGACUAGCAAACAAAAGUCUUGUUUUGAACUUUUGACGUAAUGGGGGAAAAGCCGUUGAAGAUCCUCGCAUGUGGUGACGUAGAAGGACGCAUUACUGCUGUGUUUAACCGCGUCCGAACCAUCCAGAAGAAGAGCGGGCAGUUUGAUCUGUUGCUGUGUGUAGGAAACUUCUUCGGUUCGUCUCCAGGAGCUCAGGCUGAAUGGCAGGAGUACACAUCUGGAGCAAAGAAAGCUCCCAUCCAAAC